CCUACGGGGGGCAGCAGUGGGGAAUAUUGCACAAUGGGGGAAACCCUGAUGCAGCAACGCCGCGUGAGUGAAGAAGUAUUUCGGUAUGUAAAGCUCUAUCAGCAGGGAAGAAGAAAGACGGUACCUGACUAAGAAGCCCCGGCUAACUACGUGCCAGCAGCCGCGGUAAUACGUAGGGGGCAAGCGUUAUCCGGAUUUACUGGGUGUAAAGAGUUGCGUAGGUGGCAUAAUAAGUAGCUAGUGAAAUCUGGUGGCUCAACCAUUCAGACUAUUAGCUAAACUGUUAAGCUCGAGACCGUUAGGGGUAACUGGAAUUUCUAGUGUAGGAGUGAAAUCCGUAGAUAUUAGAAGGAACACCAAUAGCGUAGGCAGGUUGCUGGGACGGUUCUGACACUAAGGCACGAAAGCGUAGGGAGCAAACGGGAUUAGAUACCCCAGUAGUC
rnacentral:rRNA from 1 species